rnacentral:rRNA from 1 species
GGUGAGUAAUGCCUGGGAAAUUGCCCUGAUGUGGGGGAUAACCAUUGGAAACGAUGGCUAAUACCGCAUAAUAGCUUCGGCUCAAAGAGGGGGACCUUUUAGGCCUCUCGCGUCAGGAUUUGCCCAGGUGGGUUUGGCUAGUUGGGGAGGUAAGGGUUCACCAAGGCGACAAUCCCUAGCUGGCCUGAGAGGAUGAUCAGCCACACUGGAACUGAAACACGGUCCAAACUCCUACGGGAGGAAGCAUGGGGGAAUAUUGCACAAGGGGCGCAGGCCUGAGGCAGCCAUGCCGCGGGUAUGAAGAAGGCCUUCGGGUUGUAAAGUACUUUCAGCAGUGAGGAAGGCGGGUGGGUUAAUACCGCAUUCUUUUGACGUUAGUUGCAAAAGAAGCACCGGCUAACUCCGUGCCACCAGCCGCGGUAAUACGGAGGGUGCAAGCGUUAAUCGGAAUUACUGGGCGUAAAGCGCAUGCAGGUGGUUUGUUAAGUCAGAUGUGAAAGCCCGGGGCUCAACCUCGGAAUUGCAUUUGAAACUGGCAGGCUAAAGUACUGUAGAGGGGGGUAGAAUUUCAGGUGUAGCGUUGAAAUGCGUAAAGAUCUGAAGGAAUACCGGUGGCGAAGGCGGCCCCCUGAACGGAUACUGACACUCAGAUGCUAAAGCGUGGGGGAGCAAACAGGAUUAGAUACCCUGGUAGUCCACGCCGUCAACGAUGUCUACUUGGAAGGUUGGUGGACCUUGGAGCCUGGGCCUUUCGGAGCUAAGCGCGUUCAAGUAAGACCGCCUUGGGGAGUACGGUCCGCAGGAUUAAAACUCCAAUGAAUUUGACGGGGGUCGGCUCAAGCGGGUGGCAGCAUGGGGCUAGUCC